AAUCUGAAAAAUUGGGAGAAAUCUGCAACAUAUUUUUUUUUUUUUAGGUAAUCAUAGAAAUUUUAUUAAUAGAAAAGCCCAAGUACAUAUGUAGUAUACAUGAGAAAGAAUCUAGUUAGGGUUUACAAUCUAAAGAA